AGCAAACCCGGGAAAGACAUGCUGACAAGAUCACCAGGACCUGGACCAGGACCUGGACCUGGUGGCCGCCGUGUCCCACAGGCCACGCGAGAGGCUGGAGCUGACGGCGGGCAUCCACACCCGUGGGGCGGAGGGCGAGUGCCUGGGGCGCAAGGAAGCCUUCCUUGGCACUGCAGCUGAGGUGGUCUUUUUCAUGAACCGUGUUUGGCGUGGAGCAUCAGCUCAACCACAAGCCACACCUGCACGAAAGACGGUGCCUGUGAGAUUGCAUUUCAAGGGGAAAUCAAGGUCAAGGAAUCCUGACCUCAGGCACAAAUGUGUCCGUGUGAGUUCGCUUGCUCAUCCCCUUGUGCCAAGUGAGAGUUACAAGCAGCCUACAUACGACUCUAUCCCAGCGCGUCUCUGACUUUCAUGCCCACCUCCUUCCUGGACCGGAUGUGGUCUGCCUGGAAUGAGCUCCUGGAGUUCCCUGUGUCUCUGUGGCAACAUCUCCUGUUUAAUCUUAGGGUAAUGUGUCUCCCCU
rnacentral:lncRNA from 1 species